rnacentral:rRNA from 1 species
UUUGAUCCUGGCUCAGAUUGAACGCUGGCGGCAUGCCUUACACAUGCAAGUCGAACGGCAGCACGGAGCUUGCUCUGGUGGCGAGUGGCGAACGGGUGAGUAAUAUAUCGGAACGUACCCUAGAGUGGGGGAUAACGUAGCGAAAGUUACGCUAAUACCGCAUACGAUCUAAGGARGAAAGUGGGGGAUCGCAAGACCUCAUGCUCGUGGAGCGGCCGAUAUCUGAUUAGCUAGUUGGUAGGGUAAAAGCCUACCAAGGCAUCGAUCAGUAGCUGGUCUGAGAGGACGACCAGCCACACUGGAACUGAGACACGGUCCAGACUCCUACGGGAGGCAGCAGUGGGGAAUUUUGGACAAUGGGCGAAAGCCUGAUCCAGCAAUGCCGCGUGAGUGAAGAAGGCCUUCGGGUUGUAAAGCUCUUUUGUCAGGGAAGAAACGGUGAGAGCUAAUAUCUCUUGCUAAUGACGGUACCUGAAGAAUAAGCACCGGCUAACUACGUGCCAGCAGCCGCGGUAAUACGUAGGGUGCAAGCGUUAAUCGGAAUUACUGGGCGUAAAGCGUGCGCAGGCGGUUUUGUAAGUCUGAUGUGAAAUCCCCGGGCUCAACCUGGGAAUUGCAUUGGAGACUGCAAGGCUAGAAUCUGGCAGAGGGGGGUAGAAUUCCACGUGUAGCAGUGAAAUGCGUAGAUAUGUGGAGGAACACCGAUGGCGAAGGCAGCCCCCUGGGUCAAGAUUGACGCUCAUGCACGAAAGCGUGGGGAGCAAACAGGAUUAGAUACCCUGGUAGUCCACGCCCUAAACGAUGUCUACUAGUUGUCGGGUCUUAAUUGACUUGGUAACGCAGCUAACGCGUGAAGUAGACCGCCUGGGGAGUACGGUCGCAAGAUUAAAACUCAAAGGAAUUGACGGGGACCCGCACAAGCGGUGGAUGAUGUGGAUUAAUUCGAUGCAACGCGAAAAACCUUACCUACCCUUGACAUGGCUGGAAUCCCCGAGAGAUUGGGGAGUGCUCGAAAGAGAACCAGUACAGAGGUGCUGCAUGGCU